AUGGCGACGGGGGGAGGAGGAGGAGGGGCGGACUUCGGGGCGGCGGGGGGAGCGGGCGGCAGGAUGCCGACGUGGAGGGAGAGGGAGAACAACAAGCGGAGGGAGCGGCGGCGGCGGGCGAUCGCCGCCAAGAUAUUCUCCGGCCUGCGGGCGCACGGCGGGUACAAGCUGCCCAAGCACUGCGACAACAACGAGGUCCUCAAGGCCCUCUGCAACGAGGCCGGCUGGGUCGUCGAGCCCGACGGCACCACCUACCGCAAGGGAUGCAGACCUGCAGAACGCAUGGAUGGGAUUGGGUGCUCCGUGUCACCAAGUCCAUGCUCUUCAUAUCAGCCGAGUCCGCGGGCAUCAUACAAUGCGAGCCCUACUUCCUCUUCAUUCCCCAGCGGCGCAUCGUCGCCCUUCCUCCCGCAUUCCAACAACAUGGUAAACGGCGUCGAUGCAACUCCCAUCCUACCAUGGCUCCAAACGUUCUCCAAUUCGACGGCGUCGAAUAAGCGGCCGCAUCUUCCCCCGCUGCUGAUUCACGGUGGCUCCAUCAGCGCCCCGGUGACUCCUCCACUGAGCUCACCGACCGCUCGCACCCCUCGCAUGAAGACGGACUGGGACGAGUCGGUGAUCCAGCCACCAUGGCACGGUUCAAACAGUCCGUGCGUGGUGAACUCCACCCCGCCGAGCCCCGGGCGUCAAAUGGUUCCUGACCCGGCAUGGCUGGCCGGUAUCCAGAUCUCGUCAACGAGCCCUUCAUCGCCCACCUUCAGUCUCAUGUCGUCAAACCCAUUCAGCGUCUUCAAAGAAGCGAUCCCGGGCGGAGGUUCGUCGAGGAUGUGCACGCCGGGGCAGAGCGGCACGUGCUCGCCGGUGAUCCCCGGCAUGGCGCGGCACCCGGACGUUCACAUGAUGGACGUGGUUUCUGACGAGUUUGCGUUUGGAAGCAGCACCAACGGUGGCGCUCAGCAGGCCACCGCCGGAUUGGUGAGGGCGUGGGAGGGCGAGAGGAUCCACGAGGACUCCGGGUCGGACGAGCUGGAGCUCACUCUCGGGAGCUCCAGGACGAGGAGCUGA
rnacentral:rRNA from 1 species